CCCUUUCCCUUUUUUUAGGCCGCCGCCUCUGGUGGCAGAGGUCUUCACACUUGCGUGGUGGCUCUCAACGCGUUAGCUGACCCUCCGGUCACCUCAUGACGGCGACGAAAGGUUUUUUCAGUUUUUGAGUAGCAGACCAACACCGUGAAGGGAAGCCGGGUUCCGGCAGCGGCGAUGGGAGUGUUCAAGAUUCGUGUUUAAGGUGUUAGCUUGCUAGGAAAGCGAGGCAAUAAUAAAGCUUUAGAGCCCAUCUAGCAGUUGUAGGUCGUAGCCUACCUAGGGGUCUCUAGAAGCGAAUAAACUCUAGCCAUGGAGCCGUUGGAGUUGUUCGAUCAAGCAUCUAUGGCAUUAGUUGUCUGUAGAUCUUGUCCGGAUGAGUCUUAAUGACUCUGGGCAGUACUUUUAAACAUUUGGUCUGUAAUAAACUGAAUCUGAGUUGUCGGAACUGUACUGUUUGUUUAGUUUUAUUCUAUGAUAACUUGUUUAUUUAUUUG
rnacentral:lncRNA from 1 species